rnacentral:rRNA from 1 species
GGGUCAGUAGGUUGGUCGUGCCUAUGGUAUGUACUGGCUUUACUGAUUCCUCCUUCUUGAAGAACUGUAAUGUCAUUAAUUUGGUGUUGCAGGGAAACAGGACUGUUACUUUGAAAAAAUUAGAGUGUUUAAAGCAGGCUAACGCUUGAAUACAUUAGCAUGGAAUAAUGAAAUAGGACGUUUGAUCCUAUUUUGUUGGUUUCUAGGAUUGACGUAAUGAUUAAUAGGGAUAGUUGGGGGCAUUAGUAUUCAAUUGUCAGAGGUGAAAUUCUUGGAUUUAUUGAAGACUAACUACUGCGAAAGCAUUUGCCAAGGAUGUUUUCAUUAAUCAAGAACGAAAGUUAGGGGAUCGAAGACGAUCAGAUACCGUCGUAGUCUUAACCAUAAACUAUGCCGACUAGGGAUCGGAUGAUGUUAAUUUUUUAAUGACUCAUUCGGCGCCUUACGGGAAACCAAAGUGUUUGGGUUCCGGGGGGAGUAUGGUCGCAAGGCUGAAACUUAAAGGAAUUGACGGAAGGGCACCACCAGGGGUGGAGCCUGCGGCUUAAUUUGACUCAACACGGGGAAACUCACCAGGUCCAGACAUAGUAAGGAUUGACAGAUUGAGAGC